GGAUAGCUCAGCUGGUUAGAGUGUGCUGCUGAUAACCCCAAGGUUGCAGGUUCGAUCCCCGUAUGAGACA